GACGAACGCUGGCGGCGUGCCUAAUACAUGCAAGUUGAGCGCUGAAGGUUGGUACUUGUACCAACUGGAUGAGCAGCGAACGGGUGAGUAACGCGUGGGGAAUCUGCCUUUGAGCGGGGGACAACAUUUGGAAACGAAUGCUAAUACCGCAUAAAAACUUUAAACACAAGUUUUAAGUUUGAAAGAUGCAAUUGCAUCACUCAAAGAUGAUCCCGCGUUGUAUUAGCUAGUUGGUGAGGUAAAGGCUCACCAAGGCGAUGAUACAUAGCCGACCUGAGAGGGUGAUCGGCCACAUUGGGACUGAGACACGGCCCAAACUCCUACGGGAGGCAGCAGUAGGGAAUCUUCGGCAAUAGACGAAAGUCUGACCGAGCAACGCCGCGUGAGUGAAGAAGGUUUUCGGAUCGUAAAACUCUGUUGGUAGAGAAGAACGUUGGUGAGAGUGGAAAGCUCAUCAAGUGACGGUAACUACCCAGAAAGGGACGGCUAGCUACGUG
rnacentral:rRNA from 1 species